rnacentral:rRNA from 1 species
UCGAGCAGGUACGAAAGUAGGUCUUAGUGAUCCGGUGGUUCUGUAUGGAAGGGCCAUCGCUCAACGGAUAAAAGGUACUCCGGGGAUAACAGGCUGAUACCGCCCAAGAGUUCAUAUCGACGGCGGUGUUUGGCACCUCGAUGUCGGCUCAUCACAUCCUGGGGCUGAAGCCGGUCCCAAGGGUAUGGCUGUUCGCCAUUUAAAGUGGUACGCGAGCUGGGUUUAGAACGUCGUGAGACAGUUCGGUCCCUAUCUGCCGUGGACGUUUGAGAUUUGAGAGGGGCUGCUCCUAGUACGAGAGGACCGGAGUGGACGAACCUCUGGUGUUCCGGUUGUCACGCCAGUGGCAUUGCCGGGUAGCUAUGUUCGGGAAAGAU